UACGUAGGGCGUAAGCGUUGUCCGGAAUUAUUGGGCGUAAAGAGCUCGUAGGCGGUUUGUUGCGUCGGCUGUGAAAUCCCGCGGCUCAACUGCGGGUCUGCAGUCGAUACGGGCAGGCUAGAGUUCGGUAGGGGAGACUGGAAUUCCUGGUGUAGCGGUGAAAUGCGCAGAUAUCAGGAGGAACACCGGUGGCGAAGGCGGGUCUCUGGGCCGAUACUGACGCUGAGGAGCGAAAGCGUGGGGAGCAAACAGG
rnacentral:rRNA from 1 species